UCAGGAGCUGUUCUCAAUUCUUGACGCCAAGCAUCCAGGGAUGAAAAAUAGUCCUGUGCGCGAGAGCUCACAGAACUUGUGCGUCUGCCAAGAAGACAGACCGGAUGGUAACCAGUGCGGCUACAGAGGAGUGUUCAGUGUAUUUUUUCCUCCGUCAGGAUGCAAGACUGAGUUGUCAUGAAUGAACUGGUCAGUGCUGAUGAACUGGCUGUAGCACAAUAGUUCAAUUUCAGUGAGGUUAACUUAAUGACCAACAGUGAUGCACAGUGAAAAUGGCAUCCCAAAGUGUAUCUUUCCAUAAAAACAACAAUGAAAGAACUCAGGACAAAAUAGACAAAAAUCAACUAUUUCAGAACUCUGGAAAUUAACCAAGGGCUUAUAGCAACCCAGGAAGCCUUUGUUCACGAAGAAUUGCUGAGUGAACAGAUCAGAGCUGGAGCCGUUUCAAAGCUUCAUUCCCGAAGAACUGGUAUCAUUGGAUCUGCUGGACUGUUCCCUGGGAGAUCAGCUGGACAAGAAUGCCUUUAUCCGACUAGACUCAAACUUGCCCGGUGCCAACUAAACUUCUUGGCCUCCAUAAUCAGCCUGUCCUAAAAGAAUCCCUUGACAUCCUGGUAUGGAGGGAAAUAAAUACCCAGUGGCUGAAGCCCUAGGAACUUCCGUUUCUUCCCGAGGACUCCACUGGAGCUGCUGGCUCCCCCCGGGGCUCUCACACCUAGAGCUUCCUCUUUGCAGGACUUUGCUGAGCUGCAUUACUUCUUGAGAAUGAAAAUUUCUUCUGGGGCUCUGAGGUCAAAGUGUAACCUCGACCAGGCCAAAGCUCUCAGGAAGAUGGGACACUCUACCUGAGCACGGCCAGGAAGGGCUACUGGCCGGAGAAUAAUGUCAGCAGCAGUAGAAUAUUCUAAACCUGGAGGAGUGUCAUCAGUUGGGGGCCGUGUCUUCUAAUUGUAUGUUUUACCAGGUAAAUAGACAAGUACUUAUUGUUUUUCCGAAAUGAGAAUGAAACGGGGUAAAACACCUUUCCUGUGAGUCCUGUUUGAUGUUGUUUACAUGUUGAUGUCAUUAGAAAAAGAAUAUCAUUGCUACUCAUUUUUACUCAGUCUUAUCACAGUCAUCUCUUAACUUUGUGGAUCACUUUAAACUUAUAGUUUCAUUGAGGAAGAUUGUAACUAAAUUUAGAAAUAACCCACUAGAGUGUGCUACUUCAUGUAUUAAUUUGUAAGAUGUGCUUUAAUUUUAUUAGAAUGAAAAGUUAUACAAAAUAAUUUUG